CUCUGGAAGAGCAGUAAGUGUGAAAGACCCCUAGAGCAGGGAGACCCUCACUCAAGUCUCGGGAUGAUAUGAACCCCAAGAACUCAUGAAAAACC
rnacentral:pre_miRNA from 14 species